UAAUUGUUUUAUGGUUACAUUAGUCUUUUGUUUUACAGGUACGUUUUGUGACUAAUUUGGAGGCCCUUUGUUUUUGAAACAUUGCAACAGGAGAGCCGCGGGUUUAGUGUCGUCGAAUUGGCAAUUAGAUAAGUGUUUAUUUAAAGUAAAUAAUUCCCAGUAUUAGCUUGUGCUUCCUUGUUUCAGAGUUCACAAUCUUGAAAAAAGCAGUUGCGUGCUUUUCAUCAGCAGGAUAGAGUCGCCUGUUGGCGUCUAUUAAUUUGCCUGUCCGGUUUGUAAAUUUAUAUUUGUCCUUAAUUAAUUUUCUUUGUAUCCUAUUCUUAUUAAUUUUCUUUUCGUUGUAGGUUUUCGGAAAAAUUUGUGGAAGAUGCGAUACUGAGGAAAAGUAUACAAUUUGAGGACAAGUGGUACGGUUUAAUUGUGUGACGUCAGCUCCGCGCUAGUGAUCCUUAUUGGAGAAGUGGCAUCAGGAGGUGGAGACGGCAUCGUAAUGAUGUCGAUUUUUUUUGUGUUAAAAGGCAAAAAGUUGGCUUUUUUGUUUUACGUUUGGUGGAGCCGUCUCCUCUUGUCUAAUGCAUAGGAUGUGGGUAAGCUAUGUCUGCAGUGGGUGAGGUAUUUGCUUUGUUUGAUUUUAUUUUGUUUAUUUAAUUUGUUGUUGAUUGUUUACUUUUAGGUUUUAGCGUCAACUCGCUGUUGGCGCUCGUCAAGCUGGAAAUUUAUGGGAGCAGCAGAGUGUCCUGUUCGACGAGGUGGAAGCGUUGUUGGCCCGUCUUUUGCAGAGCAUCAAUUUGUGUAGAUUUCAGCGUUGAUAAUAGAUACUUCAAAGGACCGUGCGGCAAAAAUUUCAGGCUCUGGUUGGUUUUUUCCAUAUCGUAUCGUCAGGAUCAGCUGGAGUGCGUUGUCGUAGGCUUGUUUAUUCGGGUGCGUUGAGGAAAAUUGGGCUGCGUCGAGGAAGUUGAUGACCGUGAAGGAGUUUGGAGCAGACUGACGUGCACUUUUCGGUCGGAUAUGGAUAUCGUUAGAAUAGAUAUAAGUAAGAGUAGAUAUAAGUAAGAGUAAAUUUAAUUGGAUGUAUCCAUGUCAAGAUUGUUAUCUGUUCCUUGAAUAAUUAAGGCCAAUAAACUGUCAAUUUUCUUUUCUAAA